rnacentral:lncRNA from 1 species
AUGUAGGGGGCUGGACUAGGUGACGUCUUGAGGUCCUUUCCAGCCUUGCAUAUCUGCGUCUGUAGAAUUUCCUGGUGUGUGUGUGUAUUUUUUAAGAAAGAAAACUGACUAAAAUGUAUUUGGUAUUCUUCCCCUCCCCCCCAAACCAGAGGGAAAGGUGUGUGUAUAUCUACAAUAAUACACUUUUCAGUUUGCCACUGUAGGCAGGCAUAGUGGAAAGGGGUUAAUGGUUUCACUUACAAUAUGAUGUAGUUCCAUUCAAGAUAUUCUCCACCCAGAGGUCUGACUAAUCCUCAGGGUAGUUAACUGUUAUCAUAAAUAGAUGCCAACUUCUGUUUAGAUUUUUACCUUUCUGCUGGUGUGAUUUAAUAUUAGAGACAUGACUGCCUCUUUUGCCCUGGUUCUGCUGAAUAUAUGGAGAAUCUUCACACACUUACUUAUGUGCUUAACUUUAAUGUGAAGAUACAUUGACUUUAUUUUGACUACUCCUGUAUUUUAAGGUAUGCAUGUUGGGCAUUUGCAAAAUUGAGCCAUAAGCCCCUAACUCUUUAAAAGCUGACAAGUUUUAGGCAUAGAUUUUACUAGCGUAGCAACAAAAAUACGAAGACGAAACUUUUAAGAGCUUCUUUGUCUUAUAUUACACUAAUGGAUAGAUAUUUGAAAGCAGUUCCAGGCAAAUUGUUUGUAAUAUUUCUCCAAGUUGCUCCAGUAUAAACUAUUACUUAAAACUUGAUGGGUUUUUUGUAUGUGUGCUUUAAAAUGGAAUAACAGGGCAAUUAUUUUAACCCAAAUUACAUGAUUCUUCUCAGCUGCCUCCUUAUCCUCUUGUUUGAAUCAAGCUAUUAGUCAACUGAAAGAUUUCAGCUACAUGUCUUAAUUUAUCUAGUAUCUCUUUAUAUUGGCGUUUUAUUAUAUUAAGUGCAACUCCCAUGCACUAACACAUUGGCCUGGUCCUCACUAACCCCCCACUUCGGACUAAGGUAUGCAAAUUCAACUACGUUAAUAACGUAGCUGAAUUCGAAGUACCUUAGUCCGAACUUACCGCGGGUCCAGAUGCG